rnacentral:tRNA from 1 species
GGUGGCAUAGCCAAGUGGUAAGUCACCGGUCUGCAAAACCUGUAUCCUCGGUUCAAAUUCGAGGUAAACCU